rnacentral:snoRNA from 1 species
AAACCCAGAAAUAGGCAAAGAGACACCUUGUUGUUGGUGUUGUUCUUAUAUCAGUCAGAGGCAGAGCAGAUGACAGCUCUUUGUUCAUCCUAACUUGAUGCCUGACUUGGUGGCCAAAGCUUUCUUAUGCCAAGGACUCAUAA